rnacentral:rRNA from 2 species
UGGGCGCUGGAGAACUGAGGGGGGCUGCUCCUAGUACGAGAGGACCGGAGUGGACGCAUCACUGGUGUUCGGGUUGUCAUGCCAAUGGCACUGCCCGGUAGCUAAAUGCGGAAGAGAUAAGUGCUGAAAGCAUCUAAGCACGAAACUUGCCCCGAGAUGAGUUCUCCCUGAGACUUUAGGUCUCCUGAAGGAACGUUGAAGACGACGACGUUGAUAGGCCGGGUGUGUAAGCGCAGCGAUGCGUUGAGCUAACCGGUACUAAUGAACCGUGAGGCUUAACCUUACAACGCCGAAG